rnacentral:lncRNA from 1 species
CUUUCUUGAAUUCCCGGUUUUAUUUAUUUAUUUUUUUAAAUUUUUAUUUAUUUAUGAUAGUCACAGAGAGAGAGAGAGAGAGAGAGAGAGAGAGAGGCAGAGACACAGGCAGAGGGAGAAGCAGGCUCCAUGCACUGGGAGCCUGAUGUGGGAUUUGAUCCCGGGUCUCCAGGAUCGCACCCUGGACCAAAGGCAGGCCCCAAACCGCUGCGCCACACAGGAAUCCGAAUUCCCGGUUUUAAAUGGACUUUUUCUUGAUUUUGCCUUCACUUGAUCGAUGUAAGCUUUUUGUUUUUUCAGAGUUUUUACAAUACUGGUUUUGACAAUUUUUGCUUGUUUUUUGGAACUUGUGUGGAGAGAGAAGAGCUUGGGGCUGGCUACUGCUCCAUUUUUCUGAUGUCCAACAUAACAGAAUUCUUUAGGAGAUCAAUUCUAGAGCAACUUUUGAAUAGAGUCCAAGUGGAGCCAAGAAUGAGCAUAUUUUCAUUGAACAUCUAGAAAGUUAAAGGGAAAAUCUCAGCAGAAACCAGAAUGGUGUUGCCUCCUCUCACAUCUUCAUCCUCUCUCCCACCUCCCAUGGAAGAAAGGAGACACAAGCACUCACGGACUCUGACCAACAGUGCUCUGCCACCUUCAACACCCUCAGUGGGUCCUGAGGUAUCUCAAAGAUUUCCCAAGACAUUGGAGGAGAAGCACACAAUUUCACUUUGAGAUGGGACACCCAACUUAUGUGUUAUCUUCCACUUGACUCAGAAAAUCAUUUGAAAUGAGCUAUGGCUCCAGUCUGGCAUGUCCAGAGGCAAGGAUGAGCUCAUGCUCAUCCCACAGCAUGCUCUGUUCUAACUAAUCAGACCCUUCCUGACCUACACACACACCUCAGCCCCACUAUAAUGAGAAGGAAAUAUGCUUGUGUUUUAUUCUGGUUAUGAUAUGACAUCCAAACUGUUAUGUUUCUAUUUCUAAAUUCAAUUAAAAAA